GUUUAAAGGCUCCUGUUCCUACUCCACCAGCCCCAGGUACCAAGCCUGCUCCUCCUCCAGGUCCUCCUCCAACUCCUCCAGUACCUCCUCCAACUCCUCCAGGACCUCCUCCAACUCCUCCUGCCACCCCGCCUACUCCACCAGGUCAAAAAAAUAAACUUUUUUCACAAUUAACACUAUGUUAGUCAUUCCUAGAGGCUAUAGUGGACGUUUCAUACUCAUCGGUGAAAGAUGUAAUAGUCAUAAUGGAGUGGCAAAAAUGGCACCUUUUGGCGGUUUUGGUGUUCCUCCAACUCCACCAGCUGCACCUCCUGGUCCAACUCCAGUUCCAGUAGCAGGACCGUCUCCUCCUCCCACUCCUGUUACGCCACCUGAAACACCUCCUGCUGCUCCUGCACUGGUAGGAAUCCCUCCUACUCCACCCGGUUCUCCACCUGUGCCUCCUGUACCACCUCUUUCUCCAUCAGGACCUCCCUCUCCAUCUCCUUCACCUGGCGUGUCACCUCUGGGGACACCUGCAGACAGAGCACAGAACACCAGACCUGUAUUUCAGCUAGAAUCAAAACCACCAUUACAGAAAAGAAGUCUGACAGGUUCUCCAGCAAGUUUAAACACACCUUCUCCUCCAGAACUUCCAGACCCCUCUAUCACACUGCCAGCACCGCUAUCACCUGGAAUAAGAAGCCUACCACUGGGUCCAGAUGUUGUCCCUGCACCACUGCUUGUGCUGGUGCCAUUCACUGAAACACCAGUGCCGGUCCCUGUACCAGAUCCUGCAGUGCCGGUCCCUGUACCAGAUCCUGCAGUGCCAGAUCCUGCAGUGCCAGUAUCUGUACCAGAUCCUGUAGUGGCGGUCCCUGUACCAGAUCCUGCAGUACCAGAUCCUGCAGUGGCGGUCCCUGUACCAGAUCCUGCAGUACCAGAUCCUGCAGUGGCGGUCCCUGUACCAGAUCCUACAGUGCCGGUCCCUGUCCCUGCUCCUGCUCCAGCACUGCCUCGUCCAAAGCCACCUGGUCCACCUCCCGUCCCAACACCAGAACCAGGUAUCCCGCCGGUCCCCAGUCCUGCUCCAGGUCCACCACCAGUUGUUACUCCAACACCUCGUCCUGGGACCAGUCCUCCUACCCCCAGCCCAGGACCAGGUCCAUAG
rnacentral:lncRNA from 1 species